GUCUCAUGCGUCGGCAACCAAUGCGCAUCCUUCCUCCACAUCAGCUGCCACCGUGGGGCAUUUGUCGACGUCACUGGAUUUUCUUUUUUUCCCCUCGAUUUUUUUGUUCCAGCACUAGAGCCUUCCGUCGUUCCUUCCUUCCUUCCUUGCGCCUGCCUGCUCUCUCUCUCUCUUUCUACACCACCCACUCCUUCCCAACCAUUGAUCCGACCACUCGCCGGCUUUUUCGCCUCAUCACAUCACCCGCUGUGCGCUGUUGUGCAUUAUUUU